CCCUUAGAUGUCCGGGGCCGCACGCGCGCUACACUGAAGGAAUCAGCGUGGCUUUCUCCCUGACCCGAAAGGGUUGGGAAACCCGUUGAAUCUCCUUCGUGCUAGGGAUUGGGGCUUGAAAUUGUUCCCCAUGAACGAGGAAUUCCCAGUAAGCGCGAGUCAUAAGCUCGCGUUGAUUACGUCCCUGCCCUUUGUACACACCGCCCGUCGCUACUACCGAUUGAACGGUUUAGUGAGGGCCUCGGAUUGGUCUCGGCCCGCUCUUUACCGGGCGGCGCCGUUGGUCGAGAAGACGCUCGAACUUGAUCGUUUAGAGGAAGUAAAAGUCGUAACA
rnacentral:rRNA from 1 species